rnacentral:lncRNA from 1 species
CAACCAGAGGACUAAAUUGAGUAUAGGUUCAGCCAGAGGAUCGAAACUCCAGAUUAAGCCAGAGGAUCGGAAAAAGAUAAACAGCGCGGUGUAUUUCCGCGUUUUUGUGGUAUUCUCGGAGCACAAAUUUUCGGUUUGUCUUUGGUAUUCAAUCACAGCUCACCCCGUUUGUCUGAUAAGCUGUUCGCUUUCAUCCUACUCGGGUUAGCUGAUGUUUGAAUAGGGGCAGCUGUAACACCCCAAAAUUUUCCCUCCUCACUCAUGCAUUCAUUUAGCAUUUCAUAUUGCAUUUCA